rnacentral:rRNA from 2 species
GUGGGAAAUCUGCCCAGAAGCAGGGGAUAACACUUGGAAACAGGUGCUAAUACCGUAUAACAACAAAAUCCGCAUGGAUUUUGUUUGAAAGGUGGCUUCGGCUAUCACUUCUGGAUGAUCCCGCGGCGUAUUAGUUAGUUGGUGAGGUAAAGGCCCACCAAGACGAUGAUACGUAGCCGACCUGAGAGGGUAAUCGGCCACAUUGGGACUGAGACACGGCCCAAACUCCUACGGGAGGCAGCAGUAGGGAAUCUUCCACAAUGGACGAAAGUCUGAUGGAGCAAUGCCGCGUGAGUGAAGAAGGGUUUCGGCUCGUAAAACUCUGUUGUUAAAGAAGAACACCUUUGAGAGUAACUGUUCAAGGGUUGACGGUAUUUAACCAGAAAGCCACGGCUAACUACGUGCCAGCAGCCGCGGUAAUACGUAGGUGGCAAGCGUUGUCCGGAUUUAUUGGGCGUAAAGCGAGCGCAGGCGGUUUUUUAAGUCUGAUGUGAAAGCCUUCGGCUUAACCGGAGAAGUGCAUCGGAAACUGGGAGACUUGAGUGCAGAAGAGGACAGUGGAACUCCAUGUGUAGCGGUGGAAUGCGUAGAUAUAUGGAAGAACACCAGUGGCGAAGGCGGCUGUCUAGUCUGUAACUGACGCUGAGGCUCGAAAGCAUGGGUAGCGAACAGGAUUAGAUACCCUGGUAGUCCAUGCCGUAAACGAUGAGUGCUAAGUGUUGGAGGGUUUCCGCCCUUCAGUGCUGCAGCUAACGCAUUAAGCACUCCGCCUGGGGAGUACGACCGCAAGGUUGAAACUCAAAGGAAUUGACGGGGGCCCGCACAAGCGG